GUUUUCAUUUCUUCCUUCUUCUCCUUCAGAAACGAGCAGAGAAUUUCCCAGAGGAGAUGGGUUGAUUGAUUUGGUAUCAAGUUCUAGGGUUUGCAACAAUUUUUAGAUUCGAUUCAUAUUGUUGCAAAACAGACAAGGAAAAACUCGUCUUGCAAAGUACUACGUUCCUCUUGAAGAAUCUCAGAAGCACAAGGUUGAAUACGAGUAUGUAUUAUGUAGAAAAAAAGAUGGCUUCUCUAUCAAGUGAUGAUAACGUAGAUGAUAUCCGCACAUGGCCACAGUAUAUUGUGGAUUACUUUGUUCAAUUGGUUCAUGAUGAAGCCAAAAAUGGGUUACAAACCACUACAUUGGAGAAGAAGAAAUGGGGAGAAAUAGAUAAUGCUCUCUUUGCUAAGUUUGGUAA